AAGAUUGUGCCAUCUUAGCCUGCCAAAAGGGGCAUAUAGCUGGAGCUGCAGUGUCAAAUGAAGGGAUAAAUGGGUAAGCUAGCAUGUUUUUGUUUUAGGAUCCAACAUCCCUGUGUUAUGGCAUUACCGUUGUGCCCUUUAUAAAUUCCCUUGCGGUAGCUAUUUUCACUGAUUGCAUGCCCCUGGCUAUAUAUACGCUGCCACUGCUAAUCUGCCCCGGAUACUGCCAGCUCCUCAAUCUUCCCAAAGCUUCUUUGGGUCCAGUUUACCAGAUUUAACUGCAGCAGAUUUAUUUACUUCGCCAUCGCCACCCAGACUCUUUUGAGGACAGCAGAGAUUUUCCUUUGAUCCCAUAUCCACCAAGAUUGAACAACAGAGUAUUAGAAGUACAAUUUAUCUCUUAUAUUAUUGGAGGAGCCCUGCCCUCCAACUCCAAUUAAGAAGGACCAGAGGUUUAUGGUACAAAUGGGGGGUCCAUUUUUCUGAUUGUCCAUCUCCACCGGGUGUAAGAGAUUUCAGUGCACCUGCCAGCAGUAGGGUCAAAUAUUCGCAUGCAUGUUCAUAACUUUGCUCCAUGCGGGCUGUUUUUUAAUCUUUGUGAAUCUACAGGCUAAUAUUUUUCUGUGCAUUUCAGAUCGCUUGUUUCCUGCGCCAGUCCUCUUCAGUUUGGUAUACUUUGAAAUUCCAGCAAAUUGUUUGAGGACCCAGUGACCCAGGUGCCACCACCCUACUGUCAAAAUUGUUCGGUCAUGUAAUUCAGGCUGUAAAUAGCCGCUCCUGAACUUUUCGAAAAUGACCAGCAGGUAGUAGAUUUGAUUCAAAAUUUGCACGCCCUCCACAUGCAUGCAAGUUAGUCAAACUGAAGCGAUGGUUCAGUUUCAAACAAAAAAAAAGAUUCAAACAAACGACAGGAUAUUCGCAUCAGCCAAUAGUCAUACAGGUAUGGAACACACUGAUUAGCUGGACCGCCACUGAGCAACCUGCAUUAUUGCAAACCUCCCAAUUUGGGUAGCGAGUCAUAUCCAAGUGAGGUAUCUAUCAAUCAAUCAUUCGGAU